rnacentral:rRNA from 1 species
GCAAGUCGAGCGAGAAAGCACUUCGGUGCGAGUACAGCGGCGGACGGGUGAGUAACGCGUAGGAAUCUACCUGGUAGUGGGGGACAACAUGGUGAAAACCAUGCUAAUACCGCAUACGCCCUAUGGGGGAAAGCGGGGGAUCUUCGGACCUCGUGCUAUUGGAUGAGCCUGCGUCGGAUUAGCUAGUUGGUGGGGUAAAAGCUCACCAAGGCGACGAUCCGUAGCUGGUCUGAGAGGAUGAUC